GUCCACGCCGUAAACGAUGAGUACUAGGUGUCGCGGGUAUUGACCCCUGCGGUGCCGCAGCUAACGCAUUAAGUACUCCGCCUGGGAAGUACGGCCGCAAGGCUAAAACUCAAAGGAAUUGACGGGGCCCGCACAAGCGGUGGAGCAUGUGGUUUAAUUCGACGCAACGCGCAGAACCUUACCUGGGCUUGACAUCCGCGGAACCUUGUGGAAACACAGGGGUGCCUUCGGGAGCCGCGAGACAGGUGCUGCAUGGCUGUCGU
rnacentral:rRNA from 1 species